rnacentral:rRNA from 1 species
GCAGGACGAACGCUGGCGGCGUGCCUAAUACAUGCAAGUCGUACGCUUCUUUUUCCACCGGAGCUUGCUCCACCGGAAAAAGAGGAGUGGCGAACGGGUGAGUAACACGUGGGUAACCUGCCCAUCAGAAGGGGAUAACACUUGGAAACAGGUGCUAAUACCGUAUAACAAUCGAAACCGCAUGGUUUUGAUUUGAAAGGCGCUUUCGGGUGUCGCUGAUGGAUGGACCCGCGGUGCAUUAGCUAGUUGGUGAGGUAACGGCUCACCAAGGCCACGAUGCAUAGCCGACCUGAGAGGGUGAUCGGCCACAUUGGGACUGAGACACGGCCCAAACUCCUACGGGAGGCAGCAGUAGGGAAUCUUCGGCAAUGGACGAAAGUCUGACCGAGCAACGCCGCGUGAGUGAAGAAGGUUUUCGGAUCGUAAAACUCUGUUGUUAGAGAAGAAUAAGGAUGAGAGUAACUGUUCAUCCCUUGACGGUAUCUAACCAGAAAGCCACGGCUAACU